rnacentral:lncRNA from 1 species
GGUCGGAAAAGGGCAAUCACUCAUUCUUAAAACCAGUAUUCUUAAGUUAAGAUGCGUCGGGCGGAAAAAGCACUUUCCCAUCUUCUUGACCCGAAAUAAAAUGGCUAAGGAGACGAAGCUUUUCUUCUGCAUCAUGGUUAGGUGCUCCACCGCGGCUCAGAUCUCCCGAUCAUCACAUCAACUCUUGCCGAUUAAUCUCAAUGGGUUUAACCACAUACUAUUAGUAUUAACUUUUUUAAUGCAUUACUUUUACAAUAUAUCUAGACAUAAUGUAUAUGUAAAUGUAUAGUAAAAAUUAUAUAUCUAGAAAAGCCAAAGCAUAUCUAGACAUAAUAGUUAGUUGAGAGAAUCCACUUAGUCACGUUUUGACCCCAAUCUAUUUUUUUUAUAAAUUUUAGGAGAAAUCCCAAUCUAUUUUUGUUGUAAUUUUUUAUUUUAGACCUAUUUUAUUCGUUCCAACAGAGAGUUGAACCCAGACUUGCUGGAUGCUACUUAGGUGCUCCAACCAUUACGCUAGAGGCCCUUUUACAACCUAGUUAGUCACUUGCUUAUGAAGCAAUGGAGAGAUUUGCUCGCAUCAAGCCCGCCCAAACCUGGUACCUUUGCCAUCUCCAGGAUCGGAAGUCAACGGUGAUUCCACACUAGUGAUGAUAUAUCAUACUCUCUCUCUCUCUCCUGAAUAUAAGACAUGCAAGUAUUUCAAAACUAACAAUUGUAUUUUAAUUGUUAUUCAAAAGUAACAAUUGUAUUUCAAAACCACUUUAUUAUCUUUAAUUUAACUAACAAUUAGCCUAAUCAUCUCAAAAAAUUGUAUUGCAAAAGUAGUUAAAUUAGAUUUGUAUUUAAAUUAUUUUUUAAUGAUCAAAUUUUUGUUCUUAUAAAUUAUAUAUUAUGAGAAGUUAUUGUUUACUUUUUUUUAAGAUCACACCAAAUCAAAUUGCAUCUUAUAUUUGGGGACAGAGGAAGUAAGAGAGUGUUUAGUUGGGGGUGUUAAAAUUUAACAGGCUGUAGCUCUUUCGUUUUAUUUGGC